rnacentral:lncRNA from 1 species
UGUCAUUAUUAGGUUAGCGAAAGGUAAAUGUACAUUACAACUAUUAUAUAAAAGUCUCAAGUAUGACUUUAGAUCAUCAUGCAAACAAUAUGCAUAUUUAGCCAUCCGAACAGUCAUCUACUAACUUCAGCAUCAUAGUUCCUUUUGCAGGUACCCUCCCACAUGAGAGAAUAAAAAUUGUGCCAAACAGAAAAUUUUCAUGAGAGAAUAAUUAAAUGUUAAGUAAAACUAUUAUCCUCACUGGUGUAGAGAAGAGUUAUGACAAUAGUUAUUUUGUGAUAUUUGACAAUGGUUUUCAUAUAUAUAUAUAUAUAUAUAUAUAUAUAUAUAUAUAUAUAUAUAUAUAUAUAUA